GUAGGUGGCAAGCGUUGUCCGGGAAUUAUUGGGCGUAAAGCGCGCGCAGGCGGUUCCUUAAGGUCUGAUGUGAAAGCCCACGGGCUCAACCGUGGAGGGUCAUUGGAAACUGGAGAACUUGAGUACAGAAGAGGAAAGCGGAAUUCCACGUGUAGCGGUGAAAUGCGUAGAGAUGUGGAGGAACACCAGUGGCGAAGGCGGCUUUCUGGUCUGUAACUGACGCUGAGGCGCGAAAGCGUGGGGAGCAAACAGGAUUAGAUACCCUGGUAGUCCACGCCGUAAACGAUGAGUGCUAAGUGUUAGGGGGUUUCCGCCCCUUAGUGCUGCAGCUAACGCAUUAAGCACUCCGCCUGGGGAGUACGGCCGCAAAGGCUG
rnacentral:rRNA from 1 species